CCGAGUUUACAACUCCCAAACCCAAUGUGAACAUACCUCAAGUUGCUUCGGCGGGAACGCCCCGGCGCGCCCCCCGACCUCCGGGUCGGGGAGCCUAGCCCGGACCCAGGCGCCCGCCGGAGGUACCCAAACUCUUGUCUUCAGUAUAUUCUUCUGAGUGGCAAACGCAAAAUAAAUCA
rnacentral:misc_RNA from 1 species